GACGAACGCUGGCGGCGUGCUUAACACAUGCAAGUCGAACGGAAAGGCCCUGCUUUUGUGGGGUGCUCGAGUGGCGAACGGGUGAGUAACACGUGAGUAACCUGCCCUUGACUUUGGGAUAACUUCAGGAAACUGGGGCUAAUACCGGAUAGGAGCUCCUGCUGCAUGGUGGGGGUUGGAAAGUUUCGGCGGUUGGGGAUGGACUCGCGGCUUAUCAGCUUGUUGGUGGGGUAGUGGCUUACCAAGGCUUUGACGGGUAGCCGGCCUGAGAGGGUGACCGGCGACAUUGGGACUGAGAUACGGCCCAGACGCCUACGGGAGGCAGCAGUGGGGAAUAUUGCACAAUGGGCGGAAGCCUGAUGCAGCAACGCCGCGUGCGGGAUGACGGCCUUCGGGUUGUAAACCGCUUUCGCCGGUGACGAAGCGUGAGUGACGGUAAUGGGUAAAGAAGCACCGGCUAACUACGUG
rnacentral:rRNA from 1 species